AGUUUUUUAUCGUGGGCUUCGUGGUACUGGAUCAUUUUAGUGGUUUCCUUUUCUUACUUCACAUGCACGGCUUUGUUACCGCCGUCAGAAAAUCCCAAACGAAGUGAACAUUCUCCAUAGAAUCUUUCCUUUGUGUUGCGGCGAAAUUAAGUUUGACAUCAUGAAGGCUGUGACUCUCAGCUGUUUUUUCAUCGUCAUUUUGAUUGUGGGAACUGUGAUGAGUUCUGAAGUACCAAGUGGACAUGACGAGAAAGGUAUUAAAAGGGUGAACGAAGCAGCUGGCAACGCCGAUUCAGACUGGUUUGUUUGGAAAGACCGGGUUGCACGCAAUGCGCAAAGAUGCUGUAUUAAUUGUCGUCCGAGUUGCUACUGUUGCUAUGCUUAAAAUAGCAGGAAAUGUUUUGUCACGCGACCGAGAAAUUCGCUCGUUACUGCUGGCUUUGGACGGACUGUGUUCACUUGUUGAUGGGAAGCCGAGUUUAAAGGUUUCCAGUUUCUUAUUAGGUUAUGAAAUUAACGCAAUUAUAGCACCCUGCAUGCUCUCAAGUUCAUUGGGGUUGAUUUUUAUUUCAAAAACUGUUUAAAAAAGCACAUAAAAGUAUAAAUCAGAGUGGGAAAUAGUUAAGUGUGUAUUUUUGUGUUAGAAUUUUUUCAUUUCCUGAUUUGUCACUUAAACUUUAUCUGAAUACCAUCAUUGACGGUUCAAGCUUUACAACGUGUCAGUCACACGGUCAUUUGCUGUUUGAUCUGAGAGUGUAAUAUGGAGGAUCACAUCUACAGAUUUGUACACAUUGUGUAAGGCAUCCUGUUUGUUCUUCCCAUAAUGAAAAAAAAACAAACUAAACUUGAACAGUUUUCGUCUGAAACAAGUACCCUGCUCUCUCUGAAUUGCUGGGUAGUAAAAAGUACACGUACUAGUCUCAACUUGCAGCAUAAUAGAUCGAAAUGCACCGGUAAAAAAUUUGCAAGGAUUUAGAGAUAUCUGGUCCAAAAUAUUUCGGAAAUUGCUGCUGUUCAUUGUACGUCUCUAUUGCUGAAGGUAACUAAGUAGUUCAACAUAUUCAACAUAUUAGUUCAACAUUUUGCCAUGUGUGGUCUCUCGGAAAUGGUCCUUAAUUGGGUUGCUUCUAAGGUGCUGAAAAACCAGUGAACAACUAUAAGCUUAUCAAUUUAGCUCGUAGAUUCUUAAGGGUAUAUAAUUGACGGCACUAGAGCUCCUGCGAAAUAUUCUUUUUGACGUGCUCUCAUUAGGCCCCCCAAAAUAAUCAGUCUCUAGUCAGACCAAAGUUCCAGAAUUGAUGAGGUGAUGCUUUUUUUUAGGGGGGGUGGUUUUUUAGGACUGUGUGGCAUAUUUAAUCAAAUAGCAAAGGCUAGUAUUAGCACGUCGCACGUCAUGCCGCCAUUGUUGUUGAUCAGCUGGCUACAACUUUGUAACCUACCUGUGGUCUACUCUUUGUGUUCUACAUUAACAUCAUCGGGUACGAGCUACCCACAAAUUAGUCUGGUUCCUUGAACAAAUUGCCCUUCUGACUUGUGGACUUGUGGCUGAGAAUCAGUCUACUCGCGAACAUUCCGGCAGUGCAGAAAUAGAGGGGGCUAUUUUGAAAAUUUUGAGGAAAAAAUGGAAAACAAAUUGACGCGCACGUUUAAAAUCGACGCGCGUACUUACCAAAGACCGACUUUUGGGGGGACCUCGGUAGGAAAACCUUAAUUGUAUCUGGAAAACGGUUCAUGAUAAUUUAGGUAAAAUAUAGCACUUUAUGCACACGUUAGAGGCUUGUUUUACACUUUGACUCCUUUAUAAACCGUAGGUGCAUUGUUUUGCUGAAUAUCGCUAACAAUUUUUCUUCAGUGUUGAAACAGUUCUGUAACCGGGAAAUAUUUCUUUUCAAACGAUUUUUGUGCUAGAAUUGGAGAAAUGUUAGCUUUCAUUCUUUGUAGCCUUUGAGACGUCUUGUUGUACACAGUCUAAUUUUUCUUCCAUGUGUUUGCUAUUAGUUGUUGAUAUUACGCGUUGCUAAACCUUUGCAGUUCUUAGUUUAGUCAUUGGUUCAUUCAUUGAAAGCCAAAGUUUGCAGAGAAAA